rnacentral:rRNA from 1 species
CCUACGGGGGGCAGCAGUGGGGAAUAUUGGACAAUGGGGGGAACCCUGAUCCAGCCAUGCCGCGUGUGUGAAGAAGGCCCUCGGGUUGUAAAGCACUUUCAGUGAGGAAGAACGCCUGGUGGUUAAUACCCAUCAGGAAAGACAUCACUCACAGAAGAAGCACCGGCUAACUCCGUGCCAGCAGCCGCGGUAAUACUGAGGGUGCGAGCGUUAAUCGGAAUUACUGGGCGUAAAGCGCGCGUAGGUGGCUUGAUAAGCCGGUUGUGAAAGCCCCGGGCUCAACCUGGGAACGGCAUCCGGAACUGUCAAGCUAGAGUGCAGGAGAGGAAGGUAGAAUUCCCGGUGUAGCGGUGAAAUGCGUAGAGAUCGGGAGGAAUACCAGUGGCGAAGGCGGCCUUCUGGACUGACACUGACACUGAGGUGCGAAAGCGUGGGUAGCAAACAGGAUUAGAUACCCGAGUAGUC